rnacentral:lncRNA from 1 species
UUGUUCUAUUCAUCAUGACCUCAUAGAGCCUUUUCUUUUUCUCAGGUCUCAUUUACUUCCUCUUUUUUUUUUCCUUUUCCUUUUCCUAUACCUUCCUUUGGUCCUUAUAAGUAUCCAAAUUGCCCUAAAAUAACUUCUGCACAUGCAGCAUUAGGAAGCAGUGUUUCCCAACCACUACAUUUGAAUGAUUCAUUCCUCUGAGGACCCUCAAGUACUUCAGAAGAACUAAAAAAUGAAUAUCACGUUACACCAAAGAAGAAAUGAAAGCUGCCAGUGUCUUCUGAAGUUAAACAGGCUCCUGUUCUUUGACCCAGCAAUCCAAUCCUAGGACUCCAACUAAGCCACUAUGCUGGGAGCAGAGAUGGGGAAGAAUUGCUGAGUCAUGAUAAGAGAAGGCACUAUAGGAAGAAACAGUGAACUCUUAACAGCUGGGCAAGCAAUGAGUCAGCCUGGGUGGUCACUCCAGAUGCUCCCGGACACAUCCCAAUUUCUAGGAUGCCUUGCUAAUCUGGGAGGGCUUUCCACACGCCCACCUGAAGACCAUGUGUGACCACGCCCCCAGAGGAGCAUGCCUUCUCCCACUCCCCAAUCCCAUUGCUUAUGACUUCAUUCACAUUUAGAGCGUGGACAGUGAAUCCCCAAUGUCAUUUACACAGUGUUGUUCUUGUCAUGGUCUAAACCAGCUUACCCCACUGCCACAUUUAUCCAUCAGCCUAUGGGAAAAGGGAAAAAGGAUGUGGAAGUGAAGUGAUCUUUAAAAGCCAAGGAAAGGAAGACAGGAAAAAUGAAGAUAAAUCCCAAAAGAUCAAUAUUUACUUUUAGUCUGCAUUUAAGUGUGCAUCGUUGAGAGAAUCCACGGCAACUUUUAUUAAAGAUAGAAGUUGUACUUGCCAACACAUCAACAAUUUAUGUUUAGAAACAAGAUACUCAAUCUCAAGUUAUCUUCCCUCUGAAAAUCAGAGAUCACUUCCAAUUCUCCUUAAGCUCUUAUGCAAGUUCUUCCAGCUGGAUCUAGAAACCAAAUUGACACCAGGCAGAUUAACAAGAGAAAACAUACAAAUCUUAUUCAUUUUACAUGUACGUGGGGAUCUUCACAAGAAAGAAAAUUAAAAAGUGGCCAAAGCAAGAUGCUUUUAUGCUUUUUAGACAAAGAAUGAUAAAUUUGAGAAGAAAUGUCAAGACAAAGAAAAUCUGGCUAGGAGUAGUACAUUUCUAGGGGAGUCAGUAGGAGAUAUAUUGGGGGACAUGUAAAACUAGUGAAAGAUAAGAGUUACUUCAUUAAGCAUAUUUAUCCAGAUCCAUUACAGUUCUCAAUUCCCAGUGUCUCAUGAUAAGGGCCAUCUUCUCACCCUGGUACAGAGAGAGUACCCCUCCCAGAGGAACGUUUAUGGCUUGCUGCAUGCAGGAAGAGACAGGUCAGCUAGCCUUUUCUAAACUACAAUUUCUCCAAUGUUUUCAACUCAAAAUAAUCAAUACACCAAUUCAGCAUGUUGUGGGAUGGCACAUCCUUCCCUCCUUUAAUAUCUAAGUUAAUAUUGAUGAUUUUGUAUAUUAAGAAGGUCCCAAAAUCGAAUGAGCUAUGGGCACCACAAAGCCAAGAUCUGCUCCUUAGGAGGGGUGUACUGGUACUGAAGAAGCAAGGAAACUCAAAAAUUGUGCUGCGAUCAAAACAUCAGAAGGAGAAUCUGAAGUGUCAGCCCACUGGAAGAAGCAAAAGCAUUUAGGGAAGUAGUUGCAUGGG